CUAAAUAUCUUUUGUCAGAAACGGUCAUCCCAACGAUUAUGAAUAAACUCGUUUAGAAAGACAUCAUUGCUUCAGGACAAAAUCGGACAGGUUUGCUGUAACUCUUGGGGAGGGGACGGGGCAUGUUUUUCAGCUGAGAAAAAACACACUAUAGUACAGUUCAAGGAUAAGUGAAGGAGAGACUGAACCUGAAUAUUGAGUAAUACUAGCCAGCGGGAGCUUAUAAGUCACGAAAUAAUUAUAACACAUUAAAGAGUGUGGUUAGAAUGUUGAGUAGAGGUGUAAUAAUUUAAUAAGUAAAUGUUCCAGUGUGUGGAUGCCACUGGUCGUGGCUGAGGAUGCAGUGUACAGUACUGUACUGAACUUUAAAAGAAUGUGGAAUGACACUUGUAAGAAGAGGAAACUGGAAGUUCAGCGAAGAUGGUGUUGCUUCUGGGAGUAGAAGGUUGAAGUGUAGAUUAACCACUUGUGUAUGGGGUCCCUUCUGAGCUGAAUGAAAGCAUAAGGCGUUAACCAAAUAAAAUAUUAAAAUGGCAUCACCAUAGUGAAGGGUAAAGAGUUAGAUGGUAAGAAGUUUGAGAGUUUCAAAUGUCAUGGAGAACUAAUGAAGGGAAUAGCUAAUGCUUGAGCCUUUAAGAAACUGGAAUAUUAGAUGUGUAGUUUGGUUCUACACUCUGAUGAAUUUGAGUGAAAUGUGGGCUUUCACCUUAUUCACAGUUGAUCUGCCGCAACACAAAACUUAAAUGCUUGAGGAAACUUAAUUGUUUCGUAAUAUGUACUAUCCUCUUCGUCACUGAGUGUACUCAAGAUUCAGAAAAUUUUAUUUACUUUUAAAAUAUGUUUGUUAGUUUAAAAAUCAUUGGAGGAUGUUUUAAAAUUCUGACACAACAGUCAGGUCUUCAUUCAUGUGUUAGCUUUUAGAACCUUUUAAUUUUCUUGAGUGCUGCUUGUAAAGUAGAAGAAAAAAAUUACUGACUUUUUCCAAAGAAAAUUUGUUGACACUGCAACAUCACAUUAAUUUCCUUAUUGCUACACACUGAAGUCCACUCUCAGUGCAACAUGUUUGAAAAGGUCCAGUUUUAUAGAGAGCUUUUUGUUUUCAGUUUUACAGCGCAGUACAGUAAUAAAAAAACAUACCAACUUGAAACUAAACAUUUCCUAUUUAUGGAUUUUUAUUCUUCUAUCUACCUGGCAUAGUGGUCUUCAGAAGUAACCGGUCGAGUCUUAGCAAUGUCUCUGUAUGUUGGGUGGCUCCCCUAACAGACAGACUUGACUUGGUUUUAAUGUUUAAUGCAGCCAGAGAACAUUUAUUGUAAUUUGUAAUUGUUAAAAUUUUUUGCCAUUGUAAAAUGCUAUAUGAUUCAUUAAUAUAUAUAUAUAUAUAUAUAUAUAUAUAUAUAUAUAUAUAUAUAUAUAUAUAUAUAUAUAUAUAUACUAGAAAUCAUUGAUAUGUUAAUCAAAAUGUUUUUUUUUUAACUCGAGUGGUGUCACUUGCUUGACUGUGUGUGCAUGUUGGGUUGAUGUGAAUCUUCAAUUUGAAUUACUUUUUAUCAAUCUUAGUAGAGAUAUUAAUAAGAUUCUUUUUUCCUAGAUAACUGGUCGGUGAAAGCUAUUCGCAGGAAGACCACUGGUACUGGUCGCAUGCGUCACCUUAAAAUUGUGCACAGAAGAUUCAGGAAUGGUUUCCGUGAAGGCACCAAGGCAAGGCCCAAGAAAGCUUCUGCUCAGUAAUUGUAAACCUGAAUAAAGAAAAAAUAUUA
rnacentral:lncRNA from 1 species